rnacentral:rRNA from 1 species
GACGAACGCUGGCGGCGUGCUUAACACAUGCCAGUCGAACGGAAAGGCCCCUUUGGGGGUACUCGAGUGGCGAACGGGUGAGUAACACGUGAGUAACCUGCCCUUGACUUCGGGAUAACUUCAGGAAACUGGGGCUAAUACCGGAUAGGAAUCCUUGCUGCAUGGUGGGGGUUGGAAAGCUUCGGCGGUUUUGGAUGGACUCGCGGCUUAUCAGCUUGUUGGUGGGGUAGUGGCUUACCAAGGCUUUGACGGGUAGCCGGCCUGAGAGGGCGACCGGCCACAUUGGGACUGAGAUACGGCCCAGACUCCUACGGGAGGCAGCAGUGGGGAAUAUUGCACAAGGGGCGGAAGCCUGAUGCAGCAACGCCGCGUGCGGGAUGACGGACUUCGGGUUGUAAACCGCGUUCAGCAGGGGCGAAGCUUGUGGUGACGGUACCUGCAGAAGAAGCACCGGCUAACUACGUG